rnacentral:rRNA from 1 species
UACGGGGGGAGCAAGCGUUGUUCGGAUUUACUGGGCGUAAAGGGCGCGUAGGCGGCGUGACUAGUCACUUGUGAAAUCUCCGGGCUUAACUCGGAACGGUCAAGUGAUACUGUCGUGCUAGAGUACAGAAGGGGCAACUGGAAUUCUCGGUGUAGCGGUGAAAUGCGUAGAUAUCGAGAGGAACACCUGCGGCGAAGGCGGGUUGCUGGGCUGAUACUGACGCUGAUGCGCGAAAGCCAGGGGAGCGAACAGG